rnacentral:tRNA from 1 species
UAAAAUGGUUCUUACAAACAAACUUUCAUUGUAAAUGAAAUAUCUAAUGAUUUCAUUUU